UACGGAGGAUGCAAGCGUUAUCCGGAUUCAUUGGGUUUAAAGGGUGCGCAGGCGGAAUAAUAAGUCAGUGGUGAAAUCCCCCGGCUCAACCGGGAAACUGCCAUUGAUACUGUUGUUCUUGAGUACAGUUGAAGUGGGCGGAAUGUGUCAUGUAGCGGUGAAAUGCUUAGAUAUGACACAGAACACCGAUAGCGAAGGCAGCUCACUAAGCUGUAACUGACGCUCAUGCACGAAAGCGUGGGGAUCAAACAGG
rnacentral:rRNA from 1 species